AAUGGAGCCAUCCCUGGGGCUGGUGGUCCUAAGUUUUAUAAGAAAGCAGGCUGAGCACCCCUCCAUGGUCUCUGCAUCAACUCCUGCCUCCAGGUUCCACUCCUCCUUGAGUGCCUGUCUUGACUUCCUCCAAUGAUGGACUAUAAUCUGGAAAUGUGGACUGAGCUAUUGCUUUCAAGGGACAUUGCACAGCUCUCUGGGGACAAGUGUCCUGCCCAACCCCUUCUUAGAGGUCCCAGCAUAAAUGUUCUGCUCCAGUUAUGGGGAGGAAGCGGCAGCCAACGUGUCAACAGGUCUGGAAAACCAGAGAGACAAAUAAAGGAAGACCUGAAGUCAGAUGGAGAUGGGGAGUGAGAGUUAUGAAAUUUUCAAGCUCAUUUUUAUCAUCUACAAACCUUCCCAUAAACUCUGUCCCAGGUGGCUGGGCAAACACUUGAGCCUUGAAAUGAAAUCUUGGAGUUAUUCCGUCACUCACACAGACUAAAUCCAUCCUGAAUUGUGUAAUAAACUUUAGCCUUUGGCAUUUUAUGAUUUCAA
ensembl:lincRNA Gm42945 predicted gene 42945